UGGCCUAGUGGUUCAGUUGGUUUAGAACGCCGGCCUGUCACGCCGGAGGUCGAGGGUUCGAGUCCCUUCUAGGUCGU
rnacentral:tRNA from 1 species